rnacentral:SRP_RNA from 15 species
GAAGAAAGCAGCGCUUACUUGGUUUUGUGUGUGGUUUUGUGUGCCCCUU